CCAGACUUGAACUUUGCAGAGAGAUCAUCUGCUCCCUUGCAUCAUUUCUAAUGGAAAUGUGACCCUGUCCACCCACCAAUCUUGGGUUUUCCCUAGUUUGGGGCUGCAAUUAUAAAAUUCAGGAUAAGUGAAGUUGAAUUUUAGAUAAAUACUAGUUAAUGUUUUAGUAUAAGUAUGCUCAAAUUUAAUUGAGCGCCCUGUAGUUGUUUUUGCCAAUUCUGACAACUCUACCCCAAACAGGAAAAGUGUUGUUUGCUGACAGCCCCCAAAAUGACAAAACGCCCAUUCAAAUCCACCAAAGGAGUUGGAUGGAGAGUUUCGCCAAGCCACAAAUUUUUGAGCUGAGUUUUGAGCUGGAUCUCAAGAUGAGUAGGAAUUUACCAAGGGAGAAAAAAAAAAAAAAAGGAGAGAGAAGAGAGUGCUUCACCAGCAGAGAAAGCAAGCAGCAUGGACCACAGGGUCAUCAAGUGAACACUGAUGAGGCCACAACCGCGCUACUGGUCCAAUGCACUGAGACGGCCAUUAGCCCAUCCGGUGAAGCUGAAUGUAAGACCAGAAAGGAAUCUCGGAGGUGACAAUCCGAUUGGAAGGAGAAUUACCCACAUUAUUUUCACUUGUCGAAGGAAGAGGAAGUCUAGUAAAGAAACAGAACUGAAAGAGAGACCAAAUGGCCCUUCGUCUUCUGAGUCAUUUCUAUUCUGUUUAUUUCUCCAUUUGCUCAAUUUCUUUGAGUACACAUGAGGCUGAACUCGCAUGUCAUCAGGUUACUCACAGCUGGGCUGACUUGGGGGAUUUUACCUUUGGAUCGGAGCAUACAAAUACUUCCAUCAAUAUUCUAUUUCCCAAAGCUGCCAGACUGAGGUGAGAUGCAGCGUGAACGUGGAGCCGGUGCAGCGGAUGUCGGUGCAGGCUCACCAGUCUGGAAGUUUUGUGUGGGCACUCCGCAGCCAAAUCGCCAGAUAAGAGAUACUGAACAGUUUUGCGAGAAGAACUUGAGAGGAAAGAGGGAAGGUCUCGGCGGUGAGGAGUUUGCCCUUUCUGCAGUUGACAGCGGCGAAUAAAUUACUGGUGGAAGAGAAACGAUUCAUGCAUCGGACUUUUUCAUUGUGUACUCAGGAUCAUAAAACAUAUUUGAUAAACAUUUCUGAGACCAAGUUGCUCUGAGAUUGUGUUAUCGUUACUAACUAUUCUUUGUGUAAUAGCAGAACUUGCUUUGUAAGACACAAAUGACCCUAUUCUCCUGGUCUGAAUGGAAGAUGGAGAUUUGCUCGUCACAUCCACCCGUGUAUGUUCUGUAAAAAAUGACAGAAUUCUGCUUCUGUCCCCAGUGGAGCAAUGGAGACUGCAUUUGCCCAUCCAUGUUAAAUAACCAAAUCUAGAAAAAUAAUUCAAACAAUGGGUUGCAGAAACAGGACACCAGGGAGCACAGGAUACUGAUCCACAAUAGAGGAGAAAGAAACAAGAACCUACAUGGGAAGAAAGUACUCCUUGACAAACUCACCCGCAAAAGAACAUAUGUGUAAAGAAUUUCUCUAUGUGAAUAAAUAAUUUUGAUAAAACACAUCAUUAAAUGAAGAAUGAGGGCAUCUGGAAUCUUUCAUGUACCUUUUGCUUCUGUGGUGGAUCUUUAGGGGAACAUUUCUCAACGUUGCAGUUAGAACUUCGCAUCUUUGAUUCUUUUGGAUUUGGAAGGUGUCUUCUUUGAUUUCUAUAGAAUGGUCUGGUUUCCAUUUACCAGAAGGUACAGAUAGAAGAAAGAGAAGACUAUUUGGUGAAAAACUACAUGAUUCGUAAUAUUUACAUGGCAAUUUAUUCUGAUCAGCUGAAUAACCCUAAUCAAAAUGUGUGAACUCUGACAUUAUUUUGUUCUCCACUUGGAAAUGAUUUCUGUCCUUGGACUUUGAUCCACAUGUUGCAAAAGAAUAUUUUAAAAAGAGAAUAAUUACCCACCAUGCUUUGUCACAGUGUCCAUUUUUCCCACCAAGGGAAUGGCCACUGCCACCUGAGAACAAAAAAGUUCUCUUAUUUACUAACGACGUCCUUAGUUUUCCUUUGUGUCAUUUUCCCCCUUAUGUAUGUGUUUUUUACGCUUCUUUGCCAUCCUGCUGUGAGGAAGAAUAGUAAUCACAUCUAAUUAGAAAAAAUUAAAAUGCUAUGACUCACAGAAA